CAAGUCGAGCGGAGUUCAGGAGCUUGCUCCUGUAACUUAGCGGCGGACGGGUGAGUAACACGUGGGCAACCUGCCUAUAAGACUGGGAUAACUUCGGGAAACCGGAGCUAAUACCGGAUAAUUCCUUCCCUCUCAUGAGGAAAGGCUGAAAGACGGUUUCGGCUGUCACUUAUAGAUGGGCCCGCGGCGCAUUAGCUAGUUGGUGAGGUAACGGCUCACCAAGGCGACGAUGCGUAGCCGACCUGAGAGGGUGAUCGGCCACACUGGGACUGAGACACGGCCCAGACUCCUACGGGAGGCAGCAGUAGGGAAUCUUCCGCAAUGGACGAAAGUCUGACGGAGCAACGCCGCGUGAGUGAUGAAGGUUUUCGGAUCGUAAAACUCUGUUGUUAGGGAAGAACAAGUACGAGAGUAACUGCUCGUACCUUGACGGUACCUAACCAGAAAGCCACGGCUAACUACGUGCCAGCAGCCGCGGUAAUACGUAGGUGGCAAGCGUUGUCCGGAAUUAUUGGGCGUAAAGCGCGCGCAGGCGGUCUCUUAAGUCUGAUGUGAAAGCCCACGGCUCAACCGUGGAGGGUCAUUGGAAACUGGGAGACUUGAGUGCAGAAGAGAAGAGUGGAAUUCCACGUGUAGCGGUGAAAUGCGUAGAGAUGUGGAGGAACACCAGUGGCGAAGGCGACUCUUUGGUCUGUAACUGACGCUGAGGCGCGAAAGCGUGGGGAGCAAACAGGAUUAGAUACCCUGGUAGUCCACGCCGUAAACGAUGAGUGCUAAGUGUUAGAGGGUUUCCGCCCCUUUAGUGCUGCAGCAAACGCAUUAAGCACUCCGCCUGGGGGAGUACGGCCGCCAAGGCUGAAACUCAAAGGAAUUGACGGGGGACCCGCACAAGCGGUGGA
rnacentral:rRNA from 1 species